rnacentral:rRNA from 1 species
GACGAACGCUGGCGGCGUGCUUAACACAUGCAAGUCGGGCGGUAAGGCCCUUUCGGGGGUAACACGAGCGGCGAACGGGUGAGUAAACACGUGGGUGACCUGCCCUCAGCUCUGGGAUAAGCCUGGGAAACCGGGUCUAAUACCGGAUAUGACUCCAUGACGCAUGUUGUGGGGUGGAAAGCCUUGUGCGGCUGAGGAUGGGCCCGACGGCC